GCCGCGCCCCUCUCGGUGGCGAGAGCCCUGCGUGUGCUCCGCGCCCGGGGAACCUCUCCGUCCCGGGUCCUCUGGUCACCGCGGGCGGGAUGGAUGGGCACCCGGGGGGUCCCCCCCCCGAUGCUGGAGGAAGAGAUUAAGGAAAACGUGGCAAUCACCUCAAUUUCCCGGGUCGGUGCAGGGGUUUCGCAGCCGUCUCCCCCCCACACCCGAAUGCAGCAAGCGUCCAGAGGAGUCCCUUUCCGGCCUGGCCCGGGCCCGCCGCUCCGCAGGCGACAGGAGUCUUCGGCACCUCUCAGGUCUUCUGUUCUACACCUAUUAGCUUCACAAAGAGUGACCUUCCAAUGCAAGGCCCAAGGGAAUCCCAAGAGACAACAAGAGCUGACUGAGCUCAAUCAUCAUGGAAGGAGCCAAUAGCUGCAAAAGUGGCCUUUUACCAAUCGAGCCAAAGUUUCAUCUUUUUUGAGAUUUUAAUCUCUGUACUUUCAUUGGUCCUGUUGCACUUGGACACCAGGAUUCUACAGUAGACAUCUCCACAACACUGGGCAUCCAAACCAGGCAUAGAUUAUGGGAGGAAGGGAUCUGUUUCAGGCGUUACAGAUUCAAGGGAAGUUCCAUUGAUGGUGGAAGAAGCUGUCUCCCUGUCACAGAUCCAAGCAGAG